AGCCACCCUGGGUGGACACGAGCCAAGUGCCUUACUGUGUCACUGCUGGGAGUGAGCGUCCCCAUCUCAGAUCUCUUCCCCAGGGGACCUGAGCUGUUUGAGCAAAUAGUACUUGGGCAUACUCAGACUUUUUAGUGGUUUUAUAUCUACGGUGUCGCGUGCAGUCCCCCUGGCAGGGUUGUGGGAAAUAGCAACCUGUGCCACUCCAUGCCUCUGGUUAUUAACCUGACGAGGGCCAGAGAGUGUGUGGGAGCUAGGGGACCAGGCCACGAGACACCGCCAUCAGUGCCACCGGGGUUUUGUACCCUCUUCAGAUGAAGUUAGCAAAACAAGUAUUAACACUGGAGAUUGUUUCAGGCCCUGUAGCUUUGACUGUAAGGUUGGCAUCGUGUGCUUCAGAGUAACUGAACAGGCUGUUCUUGAGAUGCAGUUCCAGGAAAUGGAGGCCCUGGUAGGAUAGCUCUUACUGUCCCACAGUGAGCCCUGGCCCUGACCAGGUCCUUUGGAGAUGGCCUUGUAUCCAGUAGCAGGUGUCCACGUGGCAGCUGUGGACCGCCCACCACUUACCCAUUCGGUUAGAGACGAGGUGUUGCUGUGUGAAGGUUCGUCCCCAGGGAGCUAUGCCACGUGAGCUUGUAGCCCCUGAGCUAGAGAGGCAGGCAGGCAUCACCCACGGGGUCUCUCACCCCACCUGACUGUCACCAAGGACUCGCUGGUGCAGGGACAUGAGGUGCACAGGCUGUACCACUUCCUGUUCACCCUUCCCACAGUAGCCCAAGGCCCUUCCAGUCAGUGUCAUCAAGACUAGCCUGUCCUGGCGCCAUUGCUCAAGACAGACCCCAUGGCCACUCUGAGGUUCGAGGGUGGGCCAGGUGUCCAGGAGCACGUGUGUGUCUGUAACUGUCUACACACACGUGUGCUCACCUCCUCUUAGGGAGUUUUCCUGGAAGUGGUCAGGAGCCUCAGCCGGGCCCUGGCGAGAACCAGCUGGCCCGGGCCGCCUCUCGGCGCACACAGCCUCCAAGGACAGGCUCCGUGCCGACAGCCCAGUAAUGGAAGGUUAGUCUACUUGAGAGGAACUGUGGAAAAGGAAAGGAGCGGAAUGAGAAGGACCGCUCUUUGUGUUUUCGGUGACUUCACAGUGAAGUCCAAGCCGGAGCCGAGCCCUCUAGAAGAUAUGCUGCAACCAUUAUCUUGUUCUUUCUUUAUCAUGCAUUUGAAGACACAUGAGCAGGUGGCGUUGUGUAGACGCGGACCUUGUAAGGUGAAGUGUCAUCGGAGGUUUCCACUGCGCAACAUCUUAGUGAUCUGUUAGUUCUUCGUGCUGUCUCUCUCAGAGUUGAAUGGAUACAGUUUCCGUAAUUGUUGUGUCUGUUGUGCAUAUUCGAUUUUUAUAAAGAUAAAGACGGUAGUAAGUCAAUACACUUACCCUGACCUGUGUAUCAUUUGUUCACGAAUCCAAGAAGCCUGGAGGCAGUGACCACCAGUCUGACCUGGUCAGGGAGCUCGCAGGGGACCGUGUGGAGCCCAGCCCUCUCCCUCCUCUGCGCUGUCCUGUCUGGUUGUGCUGUAACGGGAGCUCACCUCGCCGCUCACGCACAUCCCGAGUCCCUUGGGCUGGUGCGGCCGUGAAGUCCUCAUACUGAUGCUCUUGCGAAGGGCAGGCUGCAUCGCCUUUUCCAAAAUAAAACCUGAGGGCCCCUGCUGCUAGGCACCCACACCCUUGCCUGGCUGGAGGAGGGCAGAGGGGUGGAGUGGGUGUAGGUCCAGUUUGCGUGUCUGCUCGUGCGGGUCGUUCUGAACGUACCUUGUGACAUCCCGGACGGCGAUGGUUGCAGCUUGGUUCUACAGUGUUCUGAAUUGUCAUGGAGCUGGGACUCUGCACCCAGGGCACUUUUUUUCCAAACAGCAUUUUGCUAAAUUCUGCAAACUGAAGGCUAUUACAGAAGCAGUCUGGGAAGGCUCAGAGUGAAGGGGAGGGUGGGAUGGACAGGGGUGAGGAGAGUCUGCAGAAGGGGGCCAGGGGCGCAGAGCGGUAUAGCAAUACGCUUUCUUCCCACCGCAGGCCGGACGGGAGGAAGGGGAGCUGGCAGGUCAGGCUGAGAGCUGUGGGGUUGGGCCGGGGGGCCGUGGCUCUCGGUCGCGGGCGGCGCCUUCUCUGCUGCCAGGCGAGGUAGGUUAGACAGGCUAGAUGGAAGACACCGACCCUGGAGGCUUCCAGGGUGGUUUCCAGAACCCUCUUUCUCUCUUUUGACUUGCAGUUUGUUUUGUUCCGUCACUCGGUUUUUAUUCUCUGCUGUCUCCCUGGGAAGGUAAGCUCAGUGCACUGACAGGGCCCGGACAGACCGUUGUUAGAGGCCAGCACGGGAUCCUGGCAGUGGCGGCGCUCUCUGUGUCUCUGCGGCCUCCCUCCGGGGCCUCUCCCUAGAGGGGGGCCCAGUGGGCCUCCCCAUCACAGGUGCUGCUCUCCAGUUCUGCUUCCCCUGCGCUUUUAGUCCGGAUUUGCUUUUCCUGCUUGGGGCCGUACCCCACACUUUACUUGUGGUGGUGGUGGUUUGUUUUCAUUGGGAGGAGUAGGUGAGAAGAGAGAAGGUUGAAAGGAAUCGUUGGUUGUUUGACAAGUUUCUGUGGAGGGCGGAGGACGAAGGUAGUUUCCCCAAGACCGCCGGCAAGUUUAGAUGGAGCAGGGCCAGUUUAGCUGCUUCCCUGUGUUUAAGGAGCAUUUCCCUUGACCUUUUCAAGGAGUUUUGACAUUUGCUAGCGAAGUGUUACUUGGACAUUCCUAAAUAGGAACUCUCCAAAGGCGCCCAGCCUUGACUUAAUAGUAAAUCCUAAGGAUUUUAUGUAAGGUUCUGUAACCUAUUUUAGCUUUCCCAGUUAACACACCUGCCUCCCGGGGCCCAUGAGCCCUGGCCUUGGCCAGAGCCCCGGCAGACUCGCUGAUCCAUGUUGGAUCCCAGGUACCCCUGACGGCCCGUUGCUGGGGACAUUGUGACCUGCCGUUCCUGCGAGCAUUCAGGUGCCGCACCUCCUUCUGUGUUCAGGUAGGGGAUUGUCCCGAAGGCGGGCGGAGUGGCACAGCUUCGUGGCACGGUCGCCAAGCAUGCACUUCCUCCGCCGACGGCCAGCCGACUGAACCAGAACGAGGUUCGUGCGCUGGCACUGGCUUGGUUCAUCUGACUGAAAACCCCGGCCCUCUAAGAGGGCGCCUGGAGCGGUCUCACUUUAGUGUGUCCACAGAGUGGACGGUCAGUAGGGGCUUCUCGGUGUCCUCCGGACGUCGUGCUGCAGCGUCCCUCACGCUCCCUGAGCUCAGGCUUCUUCUAGACUGGUUUCCGGUUAAGGACACACGUAGUCACAGCGCAUCUUAAAGGACUGUGGAAGGGGACGCAUGUCGCAGCGCUCCCUCAGAGCCUGCGGUGUGCUUGGGUAGGGUGCCACGUGGCACUUGUGCCCUGUCGGCUAGGGGCAGGCGGCUGCUUGUUUCAUAACCCCCUUUGCUUCCCACAGGCGCGGGCCCAGGACGUGCCUGCCUGGCGCAGUCCCGGCUCUCUGCUCUAACGCUCCGUUUGGUUUCCAGGUGCAGCAGCGGCAGCAGGUUUGCCGUUCUAAGCCGGUUCCCAGCAUUUGUGCUCUGUCCCUGCCCCUGUCGUCCUAGUGACGGGGCCGUGUCAGGGCGCCAGGUGGGCGUGCCCUGGCCUACCCUCUGCUUUGCCUUUCUGGCUGAGACCCCCAGCUCUCUCCUGCCUCCCAUCUCCCUAGUCCAUGUCGUCCCCCUCACCUGGGACUCCUCCCUGAUCCUCUGCAGCCUCCCAUUCAGUGUAGACGCCCACUGUGGUGGGAGGGGGAGGUUCUGAGUGCUGUGCCCCGUGCUGACCCGUCACCUCUAACCCUUUCCUCCGACAGGUCUCACUGUGCAGUCUGUCCCUCCAGGUCAUCGAUCGUUGAGAGUGACGUCCUCGUUCUGUUAUUUUGCAGUUUGACCCUGUAGGCCUGCAGCGACCCAAGAUGCCAGCGCCUGGCAGCGUGGCUGGCGUGCAGCUCUCCGCCCUGCCCUCCCUCUCCUUUUGCAGGACUCUCUUGCAUGCUCAGUGUUAGUGGUAGCGGGCCUCACCCCGCGCCACAGGGGCCACCGCCCGGUGGCUGCCGCUCUGGCUGGCUGUGAUCCUUCCUAACCUUGGCCGAGUGUGGAGGGCGCUCUGGUGGAGUGUGAAGGCGGUGUUGGAGGGAGUGCGUUGGAGUAUAGAAGGCAAGAGGGGACUGCAGCACGGUCCUCUGGGUGUGACCCACUUUGUGCUUUCUGCCAAACACGCUGCUCUUCCGUUGGUGGGAGGCGAUGUUGCCCUGCCUCACUGUUUCCACCUUGCGCUGACCGUGCUGGUGACCUUUCCAGGAGUGUAUGUGAAGAAUAGUAGUGACAUAGGUGGAAAGAAAAUGUAUUGUCGUGUGUACCAUGUGUGUAAUCCCAUGCUGACCCCUGUGUUGGAACUGUAUUGUAAUUUGAAACGUGUUAAUAAAAUUUUGAACUGUA